rnacentral:rRNA from 1 species
AUGAAUGUCUUGGCCUGGAACUGUCGGGGCUUGGGGUUGGACUCGACAGUGGGCGAAUUGCGAGACCUGAUUAGGUCCUACAACCCGGCGGUGGUGUUCUUAUCUGAAACAAAGAAAACAGCUAGAGCGAUGGACAGACUAAAAUGGAGUUUGGGUUUUUAAAAUGGUAUGGUUGUGGACUGUAAGGGAAGGAGUGGUGGUUUGGCUCUAUGGUGGAGAGAUCAUAUUCAGGCCACGGUGAGACCAUGGAGCCAAUACUUCAUUGAUGCUGAGAUUGUAUGUGAGGGAAAAACCUCUAGAAUCACUGGAUUCUAUGGGGAGCCAAACACGGAACUGCGGAAGAAGUCAUGGUAUGCGAUCAGAUAUUUACGAGGUCAAGAUGACCUCCCAUGGCUCUGUGUCGGCGAUUAUAAUGAGGCAUUAUUUCAGACCGACCAGGUUGGUGGUAACUGUCGGUGUCAAGCCACGGACAGGCGUUUACCAUCUGCUUUAUCAGGCCGAAGUAGCUGGCAGGCAAGGGCUCACCAGGCCGCAUCCGGACUAUGA